AGGUUCGAGAAGAAGAAGAAUAACGUGAUACUGUAUCGCAAUAUAUUUCUCGUGAUAGUGUCCGCCGCCACUCAAGGGAUGAGCUAAAUUAAAGUGAAUUAUCAUGUUUUGCAAGUCAAUAAGAUUUAUCGGGAACUAGUUAAAUUUAAUCAAAAUUCGAUGAAAAAAUUCCAAUUAAAUGACAUGUUUGGUGAGCUUUUGGUUCAACAACCGGAGAAAUAGUAAAUUUCUGCAUCAGAACGAAGAUGAUGAAGCAAUAAUUUUUUUAAUUCCAGGGACGUAGUAUUGGAGGAGCAAAUUACAGGUUUAAACUUUUACAAAUUUUAAGGAGAUUUAAGAAGCCCUGAUGUUGCUCUUUGUUAAUUUUUGUGUAUUUAUGUUUCCGGUGGCCUUCGCAAGAAGGAUGCAGGACCUUUACUCUGAGAAGGAUGACAAAACACUAUGAAUAAAUGUUUUUUGAAAAGAUGGGUUUUUUAUGCCGGCAGAUUCUCCAAUGGCUUUUUCGCCCCAAAUGAAAAUUAGUUUUUAUGUAGCCAAGGGUUUUAAACCUGUUGUUGCAAUAAAUAAAUGAAAGAAAUUUAAAUGAGAGACAAGUCCUGCUCAAUUUCAUAGACGCUUGAAGAAAGUUGUUGAAUAUUCAUGUAGCCUCGAACCGAUAAUUACUAAAAAAAGCCAAUCAUAUUGUAACAAAAGUCCUCACCAAUUUUAUUUACGUUUGAGAAACUGAACAUUUUUAGAAAAGUUAAGCGAACAGACAGCUUCCCUCGUUCGUUUUGGCGAUGGUUAAAAAGAUUUAAUUUUAAGCUCGGACAAGCAACAAUUUAAA